UGGAACAGGCACCAUUCGUUUUAAUAGCAGAAAUGAUGAGAAAGUUCCAAUCAUCUACCAGAGAUUUGUCACUUCCUCACAGUUCUAUGUCAAAUAUUCCAACUCUCAAAUUGACAAGGCCUAAAGAACCCGAAUUCGAAACGGCACAGAGAAUGCCUAAAAUUUCAAAAGCACCAUAGAGCUUGAGGAAGAAAUGAUGUCUAAAAUUUCAAAAGCAAGACCAUUGAACAAUAAGAUUUUUGAAGCUCCAACACUACCCUCACUACCAAGAAGUGCUCUAGAGCCUCCAUAAUUUCAGGAAAUUCAUUUGGAGACAAUGGCUAGAUCAAGUAAGAAUGCAGAGACGUCUUCAGUGGCUUCAACAGAAGUGUCUCGUCAGGUUUAAAGAACUAUGUCUGCCAUACUUUGAUUCAUUAUACACUUGGAAACUUAAAUAACUCACUUGCCUUCUAUUUCUUUUUUUACCUAUAACAGAAUCAGUGGAAACCUCUUCUCACAAAACCUAAAACCCCUGUGCUUCAGAAAUCUCUGAGGGCAAGGCUUACAAAGGUCAAAAGUUUUAUUGAACUUGAGCAGGAGGAACUUGAAAAGUCACCUAAAUUUAAAUGUGUUCCUCAUGUGUGAACUCCUUUGCUAAUUAAUGCUGCAAACACCUUUUCCUUUUGUUUUUAACUAAUUCCCCUUUCUUUUGCAUCUAUGUAGUUUUAUUUAAAAACCGGAACCUGUAAAUUUGGUGCAUCCUGCAAGUUCCAUCAUCCAAAACAUGGAGGUGGAUCCUUAAGCCAUGUUUCAUUGAAUAUAUUUGGAUACCCAUUAAGACCAGUUUGGAUGAUCUCUUUCCUUGUUUUUUCCUCAAUUUUUAAUUGUCUGUUUUGAUGAUUCUUUAAACAACUAGACAUCAAUUUGAUGUGUAUCCAU